AGCCUUUGGCAUCAUUAUCCUCAUCACUACCUUUUACUGAGUACAGGGCGGAAAGCGGUGCACAC
rfam:Canis lupus familiaris chromosome 19, whole genome shotgun sequence.